GUGGGGAAUCUUGCGCAAUGGGCGAAAGCCUGACGCAGCCAUGCCGCGUGAAUGAUGAAGGUCUUAGGAUUGUAAAAUUCUUUCACCGGGGACGAUAAUGACGGUACCCGGAGAAGAAGCCCCGGCUAACUUCGUGCCAGCAGCCGCGGUAAUACGAAGGGGGCUAGCGUUGCUCGGAAUUACUGGGCGUAAAGGGAGCGUAGGCGGAUAGUUUAGUCAGAGGUGAAAGCCCAGGGCUCAACCUUGGAAUUGCCUGUGAUACUGGCUAUCUUGAGUAUGGAAGAGGUAUGUGGAACUCCGAGUGUAGAGGUGAAAUUCGUAGAUAUUCGGAAGAACACCAGUGGCGAAGGCGACAUACUGGUCCAUUACUGACGCUGAGGCUCGAAAGCGUGGGGAGCAAACAGGAUUAGAUACCCCUGGUAGUCC
rnacentral:rRNA from 1 species